rnacentral:misc_RNA from 1 species
GGAAAGAUCCUCCUAGCAGACUUGGUUCCUCUACCAGUAAUGGAUUUCGAUGUAAUCCUGGGGAUGGACUGGUUGGCAACUCAUUAUGCCACCUUAGACUGCAGGAACAAAAAGGUAUACUUCCACAUACCUGGUGUGGAAGAGUUUAGCUUUGAUGGUGACAGGAGCGUGGCUCCAUAUAACUUGGUGUCGGCAAUUAGUGCUAGGAAAAUGUUGAGGCGUGGAUGCCAAGGGUAUUUGGCAUUGGUGAGAGAUACAUCUGUAGAAGGUGUCAGCAUGGAAAAUGUUCCUGUUGUCAGAGAAUUUAUGGAUGUCUUCCCUGAAGAGCUUCCAGGGUUGCCACCAGAAAGGG